rnacentral:Y_RNA from 1 species
GGCUGGUCUGAAAGUAGUGAGUUACUUCAAAUGACUAUUCAAAAACAUUAACAGACAGAAUUUCCUGUCAUACUCUCCUCCCUUCUCACUACUGCACUUGACUAGUCUUUA